rnacentral:tRNA from 1 species
UGCGAUCGUGGUCUAACGGUAUGAUCUCAGCCCUCCAAGCUGAAGGCCCGGGUUCGACUCCCGGCGAUCGCAU